ACAGAAUCCAUAGACCAAAGUUACAUUCCCUGGGGGACCAAAGAAAAGCUACGCAGCAUCAUUUCCACUUUAGCAUCUCCUCAGAUACCUUUGCCUUUGCCCCUUUUUUUAUUUGCCUUUCAAACCUUUACUCUUCUCCCUACACAGUUUGUCCCUCCUCCUCAUGUCCUUGUAGCUCUCCCCACGCCUUCUCUUUGAACUUUCCACCACCAAGGAGAGAAGAGGAGUCCAUUCAAAAGAGCAAGAAGAGGAGCAGAGAAGAGGGAUGAAGGACUUCAGCUAUGAAAACAUCGAAGCCGCCACCAAAGGCUUCUCUUUCGAGCAGCUAAUUGGGAAGGGAAGCCAUGGGAGUGUCUACAAAGGCAAGCUCAAAGGUGGAAAGCUCGUAGCAGUGAAGAAGCCACUGGAAGGGGUCCGAACUCUCGGAGAUGACCCAAAAUUAAGUAACGAGAUCGACAUACUUUCGUCCAUAAAGAAUUCGAGUGUCGUCAAUCUAAUAGGAGUCUGUCACGGUCCAUCAGGCAAGUUUCUCAUCAUGGACUUCAUGCCCAAUGGCUCGCUUCAUGAUCUCCUCCACCUCCUUCCAGACCCGCCUUCUUGGCCUCGGCGUGCCGUCAUGGCCAUCCAGAUCGCCCGUGCCAUUCUCUCACUCCACGAGGCGAAGCCUCCCAUCAUCCACCGAGAUAUCAAGUCGGCCAACAUUUUGAUAGACCGCAACUGGAACGCGAGGCUCGCCGACUUCAGCCUUGCAGUCAGGGACGAUAGCUCGCAGUCACCAGUUUCCACAGUACCGGCAGGAACCAUAGGUUACUUGGAUCCAUGCUACACGGAGUCGGGACAGUUGGGCCCAAAGAGCGAUGUGUUCAGCUUUGGGGUGGUGUUAUUGGAGCUCAUCAGCUCUAGGAAGGUGAUGGACAUGGACGGCGAUCCUUCCUCGAUCAUCGCAUGGGCUGUGCCGAUGAUCGGAUCUCGUCGGGUAGCGGAGGUUUGCGAUCGGAGGGUGGCAUUGCCCGAUGGCAUGCUGAGGCCAAUCGAUCGGAUGCUAAGUAUUGCAGUGCGGUGCGUUUCGGAGAAUGUAGAGAGGAGGCCAUUGAUGGGGGAGGUUGUAGGGGAGUUGCAAAGGGUGGUGGAAGGUAUUUGGUGGCCAAUUUGGGGUCCUGUAAGGAGAAAGAUCACUGAUAGAGUCCGUAGAUGUGUUCGAGCUUGGAGGAGGUGUGCGAAGAAGAGGGUGACAACAACAAAGAUCGCGUGCAAGGACCACUUGAUUGACGGUGGGAACCAUGAUUGCAGUGAUGAUGGAGUGAGUCCAAGUAGGAAGGCAUGACAAAGGCUGCAGUCCAAGUAGGAAGGGGCAGCGGAAGGUACGGCUUUGUGAAGUGGGUGGGGUGUUGUCGUACGAGCGCUGGUUCACAGGGAGAAAGAAAUAAAAGCACGGGGAUUCUGUGGGAGAGAAGAGCACACACUGCUCCCUAUUCAAGGCCCUUCCACUGCGGUUGGUGUCCAAACUGGAGAUGAAAGGAAUUCCUUUUUUAGUCGUUGGGAGUGCAAAAAACGGAGUGAUGCACGAUGAGGUUAUUGUGAUGGAGAUUAGCAAGAUGUUGUCGAGCAUAAAGAUCAUGGUGUCCUUCGUUAUCGGACUGAUUCAAUGAUGUCGGAGGAUAUACUCUCUCAACACAAAUCUCAUGGCAAUUGUUACCUUACAGUAGAUUAUGUUUGUCAAGAUUCAAGUGAUGAUCUUUCGAGCUAGAGUGUUAUUGAAGUUGAUGUGCUCUCAAAGGCUCCUCUUCUCUAAAGUUAAAGGAUGUUGCUCAAGAUGGAACUUGAUUGAAUUAUUUUAUUUAUCA